GUCGAGAGGGAAACAACCCAGAUCAUCAGAUAAGGCCCCUAAAUGACCGCUCAGUGAUGAUGGAAGUACGAGUGCAAAGACAGUCAGGAGGUUUGCCUAGAAGCAACCAACCUUGAAAGAGUGCAUAAUAGCUCAUUGAUCGAGUGCUCUUGCAUCGAAGAUGAACGAGACUAAGUGAUCUGUUGAAGUUGUGGGAUGAAAAAAUACAUCGGUAGGGGAGCGUUCCGCCUCAGAGGGAAGCACCGGUGCGAGCAGGUGUGGACGAAGUGGAAGUGAGAAUGUCGGCUUGAGUAACGCAAACAUUGGUGAGAAUCCAAUUCCCUGAAAACCUAAGGGUUCCUCCGCAAGGUUCAUCCACGGAGGGUGAGUCAGGGCCUAAGAUCGGGUCGAAAGGCAUAGUCAAUGGACAAUAGGUUAAUAUUCAUGUACUGCCCCUUGUUGGUCCCGAGGGACAGAGGAGGCUAGGUUAGCCGAAAGAUGAUUAUCGGUUCAAGGACGCAAGGUGACCCUCUAUACAUUGAUUCAAAGGUAAAAGAAGAAUAAAAUAUAGGUGUGUACAAGGGGAGGUUGGGGGUGGAUAUUCCUCAUCAUCUACUCUAGCACACAAAAAUCCAAGAUGGCUUAUCCAAACAUUAUAGGAUGCACAAAAUCAUGUAGGAGUGCCCAUAUCA
rnacentral:ncRNA from 1 species